rnacentral:rRNA from 1 species
AACUCUCAACAACGGAUAUCUUGGCUCCCGUAACGAUGAAGAACGCAGCRAAAUGCRAUACGUAGUGUGAAUUGCANAAYUCCCUCGAACCCAUCAAAUCUUUGAACGCAAAUUGCGCUCCAGGCUUAGGCCAAGAGCAUGUCUGCSUCAGAGUG